GAUGAACGCUGGCGGCGUGCCUAAUACAUGCAAGUCGAGCGAACAGACGAGGAGCUUGCUCCUUCGACGUUAGCGGCGGACGGGUGAGUAACACGUAGGUAACCUACCUAUAAGACUGGGAUAACUUCGGGAAACCGGAGCUAAUACCGGAUAAUAUUUCGAACCGCAUGGUUCGAUAGUGAAAGAUGGCUUUGCUAUCACUUAUAGAUGGACCUGCGCCGUAUUAGCUAGUUGGUAAGGUAACGGCUUACCAAGGCAACGAUACGUAGCCGACCUGAGAGGGUGAUCGGCCACACUGGAACUGAGACACGGUCCAGACUCCUACGGGAGGCAGCAGUUGGGAAUCUUCCGCAAUGGGCGAAAGCCUGACGGAGCAACGCCGCGUGAGUGAUGAAGGUCUUCGGAUCGUAAAACUCUGUUAUUAGGGAAGAACAAACGUGUAAGUAACUGUGCACGUCUUGACGGUACCUAAUCAGAAAGCCACGGCUAACUACGUG
rnacentral:rRNA from 1 species